rnacentral:rRNA from 1 species
GACGACUCUCGGCAACGGAUAUCUCGGCUCUCGCAUCGAUGAAGAACGUAGCGAAAUGCGAUACCUGGUGUGAAUUGCAGAAUCCCGUGAACCAUCGAGUCUUUGAACGCAAGUUGCGCCCGAGGCCAUCCGGCUAAGGGCACGCCUGCCUGGGCGUCACGCUU